rnacentral:rRNA from 1 species
GAUAGUUACCUGGUUGAUUCUGCCAGUAGUCA